GACGAACGCUGGCGGCGUGCUUAACACAUGCAAGUCGAGCGGAGCGGCGAACGGGUGAGUAACGCGUGAGUAACUGCCCCCCUCUCUGGGAUAACAGUUUGAAACGGCUGCUACUACCGGAUAGUGGGGGAUGACUCGCGUCUUAUCCGCUUGUUGGUGGGGUAGUGGCCUACCAAGGGGACGACGGUUAGCCGGCCUGCGAGGGCGACCGGCCACAUUGGGCUGAGAGACGGCCCAAACUCCGACGGGAGGCAGGAGUGGCGAAUAUUGCACAAGGGGGGAAACCCUGAGGCAGCAACGCCGCGGGCGGGAUGACGGGCUUCGGGUUGUAAACCGCUUUCAGCCAUGACGCGGUAGUGGCAGAAGAAGCACCGGCUAACUACGUGCCAGCCGCAGCGGUAAGAC
rnacentral:rRNA from 1 species